rnacentral:rRNA from 1 species
GUGCCAGCCGCCGCGGUAAAACGUAGGAGGCAAGCGUUAUCCGGAGUUACUGGGCGUAAAGCGUAUGUAGGCGGUUGGGCAAGUGGCGUGUGAAAGCUCCCGGCUAAACUGGGAGACGACAGGUCAGACUGCUCGACUCGAGUCCGAUAGAGGAGCGUAGAAUUCCGGGUGUAGCGGUGAAAUGUGUAGAGAUCCGGAGGAAUACCAGUGGCGCAAGCGGCGCUCUGGGUCGGGACUGACGCUGAGAUACGAAAGCGUGGGGAGCGAACGGGAUUAGAAACCCCAGUAGUCC